rnacentral:rRNA from 1 species
GACGUAGGGCGCGAGCGUUGUCCGGAUUUAUUGGGCGUAAAGAGCUCGUAGGCGGCUUGUCGCGUCGAGUGUGAAAUCCUGCGGCUCAACUGCAGGCUUGCAUUCGAUACGGGCAGGCUAGAGUGUGGUAGGGGAGAUCGGAAUUCCUGGUGUAGCGGUGAAAUGCGCAGAUAUCAGGAGGAACACCGGUGGCGAAGGCGGAUCUCUGGGCCAUUACUGACGCUGAGGAGCGAAAGCGUGGGGAGCGAACAGG